rnacentral:rRNA from 1 species
CCUACGGGGGGCAGCAGUGGGGAAUAUUGGGCAAUGGGCGCAAGCCUGACCCAGCAACGCCGCGUGAAGGAAGAAGGCUUUCGGGUUGUAAACUUCUUUUCUCAGGGACGAAGCAAGUGACGGUACCUGAUGAAUAAGCCACGGCUAACUACGUGCCAGCAGCCGCGGGAAUACGUAGGUGGCAAGCGUUAUCCGGAUUUACUGGGUGUAAAGGUCGUGUAGGCGGGACUGCAAGUCAGAUGUGAAAACCACGGGCUCAACCUGUGGCGUGCAUUUGAAACUGUAGUUCUUGAGUACGGGAGAGGCAGACGGAAUGCCUAGUGUAGCGGUGAAAUGCGUAGAUAUUAGGAGGAACACCAGUGGCGAAGGCGGUCUGCUGGACAGCAACUGACGCUGAGGCGCGAAAGCGUGGGGAGCAAACAGGAUUAGAUACCCGAGUAGUC